AAAUUGAAGAGUUUGAUCAUGGCUCAGAUUGAACGCUGGCGGCAGGCCUAACACAUGCAAGUCGAACGGUAACAGGAAGCAGCUUGCUGCUUCGCUGACGAGUGGCGGACGGGUGAGUAAUGUCUGGGAAGCUGCCUGAUGGAGGGGGAUAACUACUGGAAACGGUAGCUAAUACCGCAUAAUGUCGCAAGACCAAAGAGGGGGACCUUCGGGCCUCUUGCCAUCGGAUGUGCCCAGAUGGGAUUAGCUUGUUGGUGGGGUAACGGCUCACCAAGGCGACGAUCCCUAGCUGGUCUGAGAGGAUGACCAGCCACACUGGAACUGAGACACGGUCCAGACUCCUACGGGAGGCAGCAGUGGGGAAUAUUGCACAAUGGGCGCAAGCCUGAUGCAGCCAUGCCGCGUGUAUGAAGAAGGCCUUCGGGUUGUAAAGUACUUUCAGCGGGGAGGAAGGGAGUAAAGUUAAUACCUUUGCUCAUUGACGUUACCCGCAGAAGAAGCACCGGCUAACUCCGUGCCAGCAGCCGCGGUAAUACGGAGGGUGCAAGCGUUAAUCGGAAUUACUGGGCGUAAAGCGCACGCAGGCGGUUUGUUAAGUCAGAUGUGAAAUCCCCGGGCUCAACCUGGGAACUGCAUCUGAUACUGGCAAGCUUGAGUCUCGUAGAGGGGGGUAGAAUUCCAGGUGUAGCGGUGAAAUGCGUAGAGAUCUGGAGGAAUACCGGUGGCGAAGGCGGCCCCCUGGACGAAGACUGACGCUCAGGUGCGAAAGCGUGGGGAGCAAACAGGAUUAGAUACCCUGGUAGUCCACGCCGUAAACGAUGUCGACUUGGAGGUUGUGCCCUUGAGGCGUGGCUUCCGGAGCUAACGCGUUAAGUCGACCGCCUGGGGAGUACGGCCGCAAGGUUAAAACUCAAAUGAAUUGACGGGGGCCCGCACAAGCGGUGGAGCAUGUGGUUUAAUUCGAUGCAACGCGAAGAACCUUACCUGGUCUUGACAUCCACGGAAGUUUUCAGAGAUGAGAAUGUGCCUUCGGGAACCGUGAGACAGGUGCUGCAUGGCUGUCGUCAGCUCGUGUUGUGAAAUGUUGGGUUAAGUCCCGCAACGAGCGCAACCCUUAUCCUUUGUUGCCAGCGGUCCGGCCGGGAACUCAAAGGAGACUGCCAGUGAUAAACUGGAGGAAGGUGGGGAUGACGUCAAGUCAUCAUGGCCCUUACGACCAGGGCUACACACGUGCUACAAUGGCGCAUACAAAGAGAAGCGACCUCGCGAGAGCAAGCGGACCUCAUAAAGUGCGUCGUAGUCCGGAUUGGAGUCUGCAACUCGACUCCAUGAAGUCGGAAUCGCUAGUAAUCGUGGAUCAGAAUGCCACGGUGAAUACGUUCCCGGGCCUUGUACACACCGCCCGUCACACCAUGGGAGUGGGUUGCAAAAGAAGUAGGUAGCUUAACCUUCGGGAGGGCGCUUACCACUUUGUGAUUCAUGACUGGGGUGAAGUCGUAACAAGGUAACCGUAGGGGAACCUGCGGUUGGAUCACCUCCUUACCUUAAAGAAGC
rnacentral:rRNA from 3 species